UACGGAGGGUGCGAGCGUUAAUCGGAAUUACUGGGCGUAAAGGGUGCGUAGGUGGUUUGAUAAGUUAUCUGUGAAAGUCCUGGGCUUAACCUAGGGAGGUCAGAUAAGACUGUUGAGCUAGAGUAUAGGAGAGGGUAGUGGAAUUUCCGGUGUAGCGGUGAAAUGCGUAGAGAAUCGGAAGGAACACCAGUGGCGAAAGGCGGCCUACCUGGCCUAAUACUGACACUGAGGCACGAAAGCGUGGGGAGCAAACAG
rnacentral:rRNA from 1 species